GUGGCCGCGGCGGCGCGCGCUGCGAGACAGGAUUGAUUCCCCGCGGCCAGCUGCGCGCAACCCAAGGGAAGAGUCCCUUGCCUCUGCAAGUCUCUGGGAUUGCGCUGGGUUAGUGGCAAGAGGCGCGACCGCCGGUGGGGCGAAGGCCCCAAGGCCCCGGCGGCCUCGAGGUGGCUUGUUUGGGCUAGCGGGGCCUGCCCAGCCCCUCCGCCCCCAGUACCCGGGCUGGAAAUGUGAAUUCAAGGCUGCACCCGCCCUGGUCACCUCUAACUGCCAGGGUGACAGUUCCAAAGUCAUGGGAAAUCUAACACCUAGCUCCAGGAUGAACGCUGUAACCUUUAUGGGACUAAUCGAGUGGAAUUAUUUGAUGGUCCUGAAGAAGAACUGGACUGUAUCCUCUGCAAGAAAAGUCUACUGGCUACACAGAUGUCUCAUCUCAGCUCUUUCAGGGCUGGCUUAAGUUUGGAGAAGAGGAAGCAUACUCCUGAAGAUGUCCCAGAAAGUCCAUAUGGUUGAGUUUCCCAUGUUUGCAUCAUGUUGGAAGCUGGUAAAACAAUUUGCUAUACUCUGAUGUGCAUGGAGGCUUCCUCAUCUUCAUCAAGUGUCAUAACUUUAAAGACUUGACAGAUUCAUUUACUCAUGUAUUUAUAUAUUGAUGUAGUACCGUGUUAGAUAUUGGACAGCCACAGAGUCAGCUUUAAGUAGUUGCCAUCACUGUAGGGAAGAUAAAAGUCAGGCAAGUCUGUGAGUAUAUCAAACAGAAUAUGUCUGGGGCCAGGUACAUGCCUUGAGCCGGCUCAAGUGCUUUCUAAACAUAAGCUGAUACUACAAACAAAUAAACAAACAAAAAAUCAUCGUAGCAAAAGAUGUACAAAAAGUCCCGGGGAUUCUAAGACAAGUAGGAAAGAUUAUAGCAUGAUGGUGUUGUCUAGGGGAAAAAUCAACUCUUCAAGCUUGUGCUAAAUCAUUGAUUAAUAUCAGAUUUUAGAAACCCAAGGGCAACUUUGCAUGAGACUGUUGGUUGUAUUGCCAUUAUGUCAACAUCUUGCUAUUUCUAUGCUCAAAAAAAGUGAUCUUUUAAUAAACCAAGGACAUUUCUCAUA